rnacentral:rRNA from 1 species
CCUACGGGAGGCAGCAGUAGGGAAUCUUCCACAAUGGGCGAAAGCCUGAUGGAGCAACGCCGCGUGGGUGAAGAAGGUCUUCCGAUCGUAAAACUCUUUUUUUAGAGAAGAAAGAGCGUGAGAGUAACUGUUCACGUUUCUACGGUAUCUAACCAGAAAGCCACGGCUAACUACGUGCCAGCAGCCGUGGUAAUACGUAGGUGGCAAGCGUUAGCCGGUUGUUUUGGGCGUAAAGGGCACGCCGGCGGGCUGUUAGGUCUGAUGGGAAAGCCUUCGGCUUAACGGGAGUAGUGGUUUUGAAACGGGAAGACUUGAGUGCAGAAGAGGAGAGUGGAAUUCCAGGUGUAGCGGUGAAAUGCGUAGAUAUAUGGAAGAACUCCGGUGGCGAAGGCG